rnacentral:tRNA from 1 species
AACUAUUUGACUGAUAGGAAAGUAAAUGUUUUGAAAACAUUUCAUAAAGGUUCAAAUCCUUUAAUAGUUU